UACGGAGGGUGCGAGCGUUAAUCGGAAUUACUGGGCGUAAAGCGCGCGUAGGCGGUUGGCUAAGUUUGCUGUGAAAGCCCCGGGCUUAACCUGGGAACUGCAGUGAAUACUGGUCGGCUAGAGUAUGGUAGAGGGUAGUGGAAUUUCCGGUGUAGCAGUGAAAUGCGUAGAGAUCGGAAGGAACACCAGUGGCGAAGGCGGCUAUCUGGACCAAUACUGACGCUGAGGUGCGAAAGCGUGGGGAGCAAACAGG
rnacentral:rRNA from 1 species